GGGAAUGUGGCUUAGUGGUAAAGUGCUUGUCUAACAUGCAUGGAACCCUGAGUUCAAUUCCUCAGUACCA
rnacentral:tRNA from 1 species